rnacentral:rRNA from 1 species
UAGGGAAUCUUCCACAAUGGGCGAAAGCCUGAUGGAGCAACGCCGCGUGUGUGAUGGAGGGUUUCGGCUCGUAAAACACUGUUGUAAGAGAAGAAUGACAUUGAGAGUAACUGUUCAAUGUGUGACGGUAUCUUACCAGAAAGGAACGGCUAAAUACGUGCCAC